ensembl:snoRNA Small nucleolar RNA SNORD38
UUUCUAUGAGGAUAUCUUUGUCCAGUUCUGCUACUGAAUGCAAGUGGUGACACUCGUGACUCUGAGAAA